GGAGAGGUACCGAAAUGGUUACAACGGCGCCGCCUCGAAAGCGGUCGGUCCCUUUAAAGGCACGUGGGUUCGAAUCCCACCCUCUCCG
rnacentral:tRNA from 1 species